GAUGAACGCUGGCGGCGUGCCUAAUACAUGCAAGUCGAGCGAACGGACGAGAAGCUUGCUUCUCUGAUGUUAGCGGCGGACGGGUGAGUAACACGUGGAUAACCUACCUAUAAGACUGGGAUAACUUCGGGAAACCGGAGCUAAUACCGGAUAAUAUUUUGAACCGCAUGGUUCAAAAGUGAAAGACGGUCUUGCUGUCACUUAUAGAUGGAUCCGCGCUGCAUUAGCUAGUUGGUAAGGUAACGGCUUACCAAGGCAACGAUGCAUAGCCGACCUGAGAGGGUGAUCGGCCACACUGGAACUGAGACACGGUCCAGACUCCUACGGGAGGCAGCAGUAGGGAAUCUUCCGCAAAGGGCGAAAGCCUGACGGAGCAACGCCGCGUGAGUGAUGAAGGUCUUCGGAUCGUAAAACUCUGUUAUUAGGGAAGAACAUAUGUGUAAGUAACUGUGCACAUCUUGACGGUACCUAAUCAGAAAGCCACGGCUAACUACGCG
rnacentral:rRNA from 1 species